CAUUGAAACACUGAUUCCUGUAAGAUCAUCAAAGUUAAACAACAUCAAGCCUGGUCAGUACCUAGAUGGGUGACCACUUGGGAAUACCAGGUGCUGUAAG